CCUACGGGAGGCAGCAGUGAGGAAUAUUGGUCAAUGGCCGGAAGGCUGAACCAGCCAAGUCGCGUGAAGGAAGAAGGACCUAUGGUUGGUAAACUUCUUUUAUAGGGGAAUAAAGGUAUCCACGUGUGGAUAUUUGCAUGUACCCUAUGAAUAAGCAUCGGCUAACUCCGUGCCAGCAGCCGCGGUAAUACGGAGGGUGCGAGCGUUAUCCGGAUUUAUUGGGUUGAAAGGGUGCGUAGGUUGUGUGUUAAGUCAGCGGUGAAAGUCUGGGGCUCAACCAUAGAAUUGCCGUUGAAACUGGAAGACUUGAGUGUGUUAGAGGUAGGCGGAAUGCGUGGUGUAGCGGUGAAAUGCAUAGAUAUCACGAGGAACUCCGAUUGCGAAGGCAGCUUCCUGAGCCAUAACUGACACUGAUGCACGAAAGCGUGGGGAUCAAACAGGAUUAGAUACCCCGGUAGUC
rnacentral:rRNA from 1 species